AGCCGAAAGCAAAUGUUUCGCCUCCGAUCCUGUACGUCCAUUAUCUUAGCCACUAAGUUAGACUCCCCCAAUUCAUGCCUUAUUUUAACAUUCCAAUCCUUCUGUAACACCACCACACUUAAGUUACGCAUCGUCAGACUUUAGGUGGUUAACCACUCAUUGAUUAUCGCACUCUACCUCAGAAGCCUUUGUUCCAAGCGAGUGAAACCGCCCAUAUUUCAGCUUGGAUCACCCAGCAAAUCCCGAUACAGCGGCUAAAACCAGCCACCCAAGAUCCUUCAUACCCCCACAGCCGCAAGUGGCGGAUCAGCUUUAACAGCUGCAUCAACGUUCAGUUUAAACCAUCCACAUAAAUGUCUUUACCAACUUGCAUACUUCCUCCUCAGUUCAUCUCCCGUCGUCUCUUUGAUAUUUC
rnacentral:lncRNA from 1 species